rnacentral:rRNA from 1 species
AGAUUGAACGCUGGCGGCAGGCCUAACACAUGCAAGUCGAACGGCAGCACAGUAGGAGCUUGCUCUUACGGGUGGCGAGUGGCGGACGGGUGAGGAAUACAUCGGAAUCUACCUUUUGGUGGGGGAUAACGGUGGGGAAACUUACGCUAAUACCGCAUACGCCCUUCGGGGGAAAGCCGGGGACCAGCAAUGGCCUGGCGCUGAUAGAUGAGCCGAUGUCGGAUUAGC